UACGUAGGGGGCUAGCGUUGUCCGGAAUCAUUGGGCGUAAAGAGCGUGUAGGCGGCCCGGUAAGUCCGCUGUAAAAGUCAAAGGCUCAACCUUUGAAUGUCAGUGGAUACUGCCGGGCUAGAGUCCGGAAGAGGCGAGUGGAACUCCUGGUGUAGCGGUGGAAUGCGCAGAUAUCAGGAAGAACACCAACGGCGAAGGCAGCUCUCUGGGACGGUACUGACACUGAGACGCGAAAGCGUGGGGAGCGAACAGG
rnacentral:rRNA from 1 species